rfam:Salmo salar isolate Sally breed double haploid chromosome ssa14, whole genome shotgun sequence.
UGAGUACACUACUGUAAGUCGCUCUGGUUAAGAGCAUCUGCUAAAUUCCCCAAA